UACAGAGGUCUCGAGCGUUAGGCGGAAUCACUGGGCUUAAAGCGUGUGUAGGUGGAUCGUUAAGUACCUUGUGAAAUCCCACGGCUCAACCGUGGAACUGCUGGGUAUACUGGCGAUCUUGAGCCACCUAGGGGCGAGCGGAACAAACGGUGGAGCGGUGAAAUGCGUAGAUAUCGUUUGGAACGCCAACGGUGAAAACAGCUCGCUGGGGGGUGUGCUGACGCUGAGACACGAAAGCCAGGGGGAGCGAACGGG
rnacentral:rRNA from 1 species